CCAACGGGGGGCAGCAGUGAGGAAUAUUGGUCAAUGGGCGCAAGCCUGAACCAGCCAUCCCGCGUGAAGGAUGAAGGCCCUAUGGGUCGUAAACUUCUUUUAUACACCAAGAAAAAGCAGGACGUGUCCUGCCCCGACGGUAGUGUAUGAAUAAGCAUCGGCUAACUCCGUGCCAGCAGCCGCGGUAAUACGGAGGAUGCAAGCGUUAUCCGGAUUCAUUGGGUUUAAAGGGUGCGUAGGCGGCUUGUUAAGUCAGUGGUGAAAUCUUGCCGCUUAACGGUAAAAUUGCCAUUGAUACUGAUAAGCUUGAGUACAAUGGAGGUAAGCGGAAUGUGUAGUGUAGCGGUGAAAUGCUUAGAUAUUACACAGAACACCGAUUGCGAAGGCAGCUUACUAAACUGUCACUGACGCUGAUGCACGAAAGCGUGGGGAGCGAACA
rnacentral:rRNA from 1 species